rnacentral:rRNA from 1 species
AACGUAGGACACAAGCGUUAUCCGGAAUUACUGGGCGUAAAGGGAGUGCAGGCGGUUGCGGAAGUCGGGUGUGAAAGCCCCGGGCUCAACCUGGGAAUUGCAUUCGAGACUGCGUAGCUAGGGUGCGGAAGAGGGAAGCGGAAUUUCCGGUGUAGCGGUGAAAUGCGUAGAUAUCGGAAGGAACAUCAGUGGCGAAAGCGGCUUCCUGGUCCAGCACCGACGUUCAGGCACGAAAGCGUGGGGAGCAAACGGG